CCGGAGUACAACCGCUGGAUGAUAGCCGACACAUUACCAAAGAUACUGGCGUACAUUAGGGCUGCGAGAGGGAGAAUCACACCAGACAGUCCCAGUACAGUCUAAACACUCACAGCCAAUCAGCAUGACACAGAUGGAGAAGAUCUUCUCGGAGUUGGUGUUGGGGGAGACGUUGCCAAAGCCCACGCUGGUCAGGCUACUGAAGAUAGGGCUUCUCCACAUUGCCGAUGGCGUACCAGAUGCAGGCCAGCCAAUGGGCAAUGAGGGCGAAGAUGCACAUGAGGAGCAUAAGGACGGCGGCGCCGUACUCUGAAUAUCGGUCCAGCUUACGGGCCACGCGAACGAGUCGGAGCAACCGGGCGGUCUUCAGCAGGCCAAUCAGAGUUGUGGUCUGAGGGGACAUAGAAGUCAACAGAGCUGUGAUUGGCUGGGGGUUUGAGUGUUGCAGUACAGUGCAGGCAAGUUAUUUUUUAAUUGGAUGCACCACAACAGGAAGCAAUUUGUUGUGAUUAGGGGUAACCUUAAGGUCAGAUCAAAGGUAAGGAGUUAGGGUUAAGAUAGUACUGUUACAAUCAAGCUUGGCUAAAUGACCACGAUCCAGUUUCUAAUUCCAGUUUCUAAAUCACUGAGCAUGACAGUGUGUCAAUGGAAGGGAACUAGACUGCUGUCUAAACCAGCAGAGAGCAGUGGCAAUAAUAUAAAUAUAACAUAACAUAUUUCCGUCAUUCUAAAAUGAGGGGUGAGAGGGAUUUAUCAAGCCUACAUACUGAUACUAAGACGACUGCAGAAAAAAUAUGUUUUUAAAGAACAAUAAAAACAAAUCUGAAAUAACUGAGCUUUUGACAGUGAACGUCCAAGUCUUCCAGCCAGGCAGCAUGAAAGCAAACACCACGCCUCUCCUGUCCUCCCACCCCUCCUUCUGUUCAGUUUCAUUUAAACAGCCUUAAUCCUGGCAUCUCUCCAUCUCAAUUCCUGCCCAGCUAAAUUAACACGGUGACAAAAAAACAAUAAACGACCACGGCCUGCCAUGAGAUAAGAGCUGAUUUAUUAGUGUCGCACAGUCUGCAAACAGCAUAAGUGAGUCUUAGGGAAACGCUAAUAGUUUGUUCCUCGUCUCAUCAGGACUGACGAUUAUAGUAAUAUCCUGAGGGAAGUCAUUGCUACUACUGUUUCUCGUCCUCUACAGUCACUCAGCUCUCUGCACCUGUACACAUUUAUUUACAGGGUGCUUCUCCCGUUUACACAUGAGACUCAAUUUGACAGUGACUAUGGUUCCUUGUCUCAUAGAAUGGGGGUCUGAUUUAUGGCGCAACACCGCCUCGACUCUGUCACAGGUAAAUAUGCUCUGGUGAGGGACACGGAUGCUACUGCUGAGGCUCUGAAAGCUCCAUUACAAACCGACCGGCCCAUCUGCCCAAAUCUUCCCCCUAAAUCACUGCAAUCAUUUACAGCAGCUUUCGUCUCCUUUACUCUUAGAGAAAAAAGGUGUUAUGGAGAACCUAAAAGGGUUCUUUGGCUGUUCUUGUAACGUCUGCUUCCAACUCACACUCUCAAACACGUAGAUCCCCUGAAUGCAGCUCACUCUCCAGAUCCCAAUCACCUGCAUUCUGAUCACCUGUUCAUACACCUGUAUGUCAUUAUCACACACUAUUUAGUUCAGUUCUUUGCACCCCAUCAUUGUGAGGUAUUGUUUGUUUUGUGACACACUUCUAUUGGGAGCGCUGGUUUUCCUGUAAUUUACUCCUCCCGUGGAUGAUAGUUUUUUCCUGCCUCACUAACAAUGCCUUUUGCCUAUUCCCUGCCUGUACUUUAGCCUAUCGGAUUUCCUGUUAUCUACCUAUUGCCUGAUCUCCCGGACGACGUUAUUAGACUUUUCCCUGUCUGUACUGUUGCCUUUUUGGACCCCCUGUGUAUGACCUUCUGCCUGCUCCUGGACCCAACUACUUGCCUCCUCCUGUGGUCCUUUACAAUAAAAACCUGCUGUGCACAGCACUUGAAACCAGCUCUCUGUCUCCCAUCGUGUUCAUUACAGUCCCCUAAGGAGAACGCUUUGAAGAACACUUUUUGGCUCCAGGUAGAACCCUUUUGGGUUCC